ensembl:lncRNA
UCACCAGCAGCAGCAGUAUUUGUCAACUGUCAGCUAAAACAUACUGGUAAAUAUUCAGAUUAAAACUGAAGUGUUUUCUCUUUAUGCAGUCUGAAGAACAACUGUAUCACAGAAGGAGGGUGUCAUGUUCUGGCUGCAGCUCUAAAUUCAAACCCUUCAAAUCUUACAGAGUUGGAUCUGAGUGAGAAUAAACUAGGAAACCCAGGAAUGAAGAUCAUCUCGACUCUGUUUGAAAAUGUACAGUGUAGACUGGAAAAGCUGAAGUUAAACUGCAUCAGUAUUACAGAUGAAGGUUGUGCUGCUCUGUCAUCAGCGUUUAAUUCAAACCUCAGAGAGCUGGAUCUGAGCAGGAAUCAAAUAGGAGACUCUGGAGUGACAGAAAUCUCCAGUCUGCUGAGAAAUUCACAGACACUACAGAUACUCAGACUUUCAGACUGCAGUAUCACUGAAGAAGGUUAUA